GCAUCGGUGGCUUAGUGGUAGAAUGCUCGCCUGCCACGCGGGCGGCCCAGGUUCGAUUCCCGGCCGAUGCA
rnacentral:tRNA from 1 species